rnacentral:rRNA from 1 species
UACGUAGGGGGCAAGCGUUGUCCGGAAUUAUUGGGCGUAAAGAGCGCGUAGGCGGUCCGAUAAGUCGGCUGUGAAAGUCAGGGGCUCAACCCCUGAAUGCCGGCCGAUACUGUCGGGCUAGAGUCCGGAAGAGGAGAGUGGAAUUCCUGGUGUAGCGGUGAAAUGCGCAGAUAUCAGGAAGAACACCCGUGGCGAAGGCGGCUCUCUGGGACGGUACUGACGCUGAGACGCGAAAGCGUGGGGAGCGAACAGG